UACGUAGGGUGCUAGCGUUGUCCGGAAUUAUUGGGCGUAAAGAGCUCGUAGGCGGUCUGUCGCGUCGGCUGUGAAAACCCGGGGCUCAACCCCGGGCCUGCAGUCGAUACGGGCAGACUAGAGUGCGGUAGGGGAGACUGGAAUUCCUGGUGUAGCGGUGAAAUGCGCAGAUAUCAGGAGGAACACCGGUGGCGAAGGCGGGUCUCUGGGCCGUAACUGACGCUGAGGAGCGAAAGCGUGGGGGGCGAACAGG
rnacentral:rRNA from 1 species